AACGAACGCUGGCGGCAGGCCUAACACAUGCAAGUCGAGCGGACCUUUCGGGGUCAGCGGCGGACGGGUGAGUAACGCGUGGGAAUAUGCCCUUCUCUACGGAAUAGUCCUGGGAAACUGGGGGUAAUACCGUAUACGCCCUUUGGGGGAAAGAUUUAUCGGGGAAGGAUUAGCCCGCGUUGGAUUAGGUAGUUGGUGGGGUAAUGGCCUACCAAGCCGACGAUCCAUAGCUGGUUUGAGAGGAAGAUCAGCCACACUGGGACGGAGACACGGCCGAGACUCCUACGGGAGGCAGCAGUGGGGAAUCUUAGACAAUGGGGGCAACGCUGAUGUAGCCAUGCUGCGUGAGUGAUGAAGGCAUUAGGGUUGUAAAGCGCUAUCAGCUGUGAAGAUAAUGACGGUACCAGCAGAAGAAGCCCCGGCUAACUCCGUG
rnacentral:rRNA from 1 species